rnacentral:rRNA from 1 species
AACGAACGCUGGCGGCAUGCCUAACACAUGCAAGUCGAACGAGACCUUCGGGUCUAGUGGCGCACGGGUGCGUAACGCGUGGGAAUCUGCCCUUGGGUUCGGAAUAACAGCUAGAAAUGGCUGCUAAUACCGAAUAAUGACGUAAGUCCAAAGAUUUAUCGCCCAAGGAUGAGCCCGCGUAGGAUUAGCUAGUUGGUGAGGUAAAAGCUCACCAAGGCGACGAUCCUUAGCUGGUCUGAGAGGAUGAUCAGCCACACUGGGACUGAGACACGGCCCAGACUCCUACGGGAGGCAGCAGUGGGGAAUAUUGGACAAUGGGCGAAAGCCUGAUCCAGCAAUGCCGCGUGAGUGAUGAAGGCCUUAGGGUUGUAAAGCUCUUUUACCCGGGAUGAUAAUGGCAGUACCGGGAGAAUAAGCUCCGGCUAACUCCGUGCCAGCAGCCGCGGUAAUACGGAGGGAGCUAGCGUUGUUCGGAAUUACUGGGCGUAAAGCGCACGUAGGCGGCUUUGCAAGUUAGAGGUGAAAGCCUGGGGCUCAACCCCAGAAUUGCCUUUAAGACUGCAUCGCUAGAAUCCAGGAGAGGUGAGUGGAAUUCCGAGUGUAGAGGUGAAAUUCGUAGAUAUUCGGAAGAACACCAGUGGCGAAGGCGGCUCACUGGACUGGUAUUGACGCUGAGGUGCGAAAGCGUGGGGAGCAAACAGG